CAGUGCCAGACCAGGAAGACCCCCCAAACGCAGUCCAUCUAUUCACGCUAGCCCGGAGACAUUGGAAAAAUUGAAAAAAAGUCGGUUAGAUGGAAAUGAAUAUCAGUAUGAUCCAAGAAUUUAUGGAAAAGAAUACGAAAGGAUCCUAGCUGAUGAGUUCAAAAUAUUUGGUUAUCCAUCCACUAUAGGUAGGAAAACG